rnacentral:rRNA from 1 species
UACGGGGGGGGCAAGCGUUGUUCGGAAUUACUGGGCGUAAAGCGUAUGCAGGCGGAUCGUUAAGUCGGGGGUGAAAUCCCGAGGCUCAACCUCGGAACUGCCUUCGAUACUGGCGAUCUUCGAGUCCGGGAGAGGUGAGUGGAACUCCGAGUGUAGAGGUGAAAUUCGUAGAUAUUCGGAAGAACACCAGUGGCGAAGGCGGCUCACUGGCCCGGUACUGACGCUGAAAUACGAAAGCGUGGGGAGCAAACAGG